GCCCCGGUAAACGGCGGCCGUAACUAUAACGGUCCUAAGGUAGCGAAAUUCCUUGUCGGGUAAGUUCCGACCUGCACGAAUGGCGUAAUGAUGGCCAGGCUGUCUCCACCCGAGACUCAGUGAAAUUGAACUCGCUGUGAAGAUGCAGUGUACCCGCGGCAAGACGGAAAGACCCCGUGAACCUUUACUAUAGCUUGACACUGAACAUUGAGCCUUGAUGUGUAGGAUAGGUGGGAGGCUUUGAAGUGUGGACGCCAGUCUGCAUGGAGCCGACCUUGAAAUACCACCCUUUAAUGUUUGAUGUUCUAACGUUGGCCCGUAAUCCGGGUUGCGGACAGUGUCUGGUGGGUAGUUUGACUGGGGCGGUCUCCUCCUAAAGAGUAACGGAGGAGCACGAAGGUUGGCUAAUCCUGGUCGGACAUCAGGAGGUUAGUGCAAUGGCAUAAGCCAGCUUGACUGCGAGCGUGACGGCGCGAGCAGGUGCGAAAGCAGGUCAUAGUGAUCCGGUGGUUCUGAAUGGAAGGGCCAUCGCUCAACGGAUAAAAGGUACUCCGGGGAUAACAGGCUGAUACCGCCCAAGAGUUCAUAUCGACGGCGGUGUUUGGCACCUCGAUGUCGGCUCAUCACAUCCUGGGGCUGAAGUAGGUCCCAAGGGUAUGGCUGUUCGCCAUUUAAAGUGGUACGCGAGCUGGGUUUAGAACGUCGUGAGACAGUUCGGUCCCUAUCUGCCGUGGGCGCUGGAGAACUGAGGGGGGCUGCUCCUAGUACGAGAGGACCGGAGUGGACGCAUCACUGGUGUUCGGGUUGUCAUGCCAAUGGCACUGCCCGGUAGCUAAAUGCGGAAGAGAUAAGUGCUGAAAG
rnacentral:rRNA from 1 species